rnacentral:misc_RNA from 1 species
AUCCAAACUUUUACACACGCGACACACCAGUGUGGAACAGUCUUUAAUUAGCGUCUAGAAAAGACAGCUUGCACCGAACUUACCUUUGGUUUAAUAUUAGCAUACAUCACUUUCUAAAUUCAAAUUCGGAUUUAUGUGUAUUCAGCUUUCUUCUAAAGGUGACCCGUUAGCAUAUCAGUAUUUGACAUUGAGGAGACGUGUUUUCGUCCCCGCUAACUCUUACAACUUCUCGCUGGAUUUUACAACAUGCGGAAACAAGCUCGGAGUGAGAAGUGCAGCGAUCGGUUCCUACACUGUCUGUCACAGGUGCCAUGUGGUUCACUCAUAGCCUGGAUUAUCCUGCUGGUGGGACUCGGCGGAUUAACGGGCGGACUUCUGAUUGGCGCCCAGAAAACACGUGACAUGCUCGAUAAUGACCAGUUGUGAGUUGAACUAAGUUAUUUAUUAAAAACUUUUAUCUUUUAUUCUUGUCUUUUAAUACUCCAAUCUUCAGAAGUAUUUAUAGGUUGUAGUCGUCAUUUUGUUAAAAACUUAUUUAAAAGUAUUUAUAGGUUGUAAUAUCAAUUUUUUACAAACUUAUUCGAAUAUUAAUCUUGAUCAAGUAGAUACUCUCAAACACCAGUGAUCACAAUCUUGAAGAAAAGCUUCAAAGAUAUUAGUAGACAUAGAUGACGCGAUUCUUUCAUGUACAAAGAAGACAUACAUGUACACUACUGUGACCAGUAAGAUUGACAAACAAUGACAGAGGCUAGAAAAGAUGACAGUGUAAAAAUAACGAGGAAUGAUUGGCUGAAUAAUUACUAUAGAAACACAUUGAGGCGGCUUGAUGGCGCUGUUGUUGUUGUCUUGCAGCCUGUGGUUCAUGGAGUACACUCUGAUCGGGGUGGUGGUCAGUAUGUUUGUGAUCGGCACCCUCCUCCUCUGUGUGGGUCACGUGUCCACAGAGCCCACUAGUCGCCACAUGUUCCAAACUACCAAGAAAAACAUGUGCGCGCAGGGACUCAACGUUUUCCUGAUGGUCUUCUGCUACCUCCUGGGUUUCUCCUGGAUCGUAGCCUCGGUGGUACUGGCCGUCCCGGUCUACCUUCUCUCUCUCCUGUAUUUCGCUGAUUUCACAGUCACAAAAAAUGGCGUGGAUACAAAAUGCAUCUAUCUAGUCCAUUAUGGUUUGGAUAAGCAAGAUUUUUGUGGCGCCGAUUUCCAGAACUUUGAGCGUGAGGGGAAGCAGUUGAUCAUCAGUUACAUAGCAGCUCUCGCAUCAUCCAUCCUGAUAGCUAUAAGCUUGAUCCACUAUAUGAUUGUCAUCAGUGCUAAUCUUGCCAACCUAAGAAACUCUCGCAUAGCCACCCUCAAUGCUUAUGAUGAUGAAAUGGCAAAUUCAAAGCUUGUUGCCGAUACCACCAUGUAAGCACUGAACAAGCGUUUACAUGACCAUAUAAUAUGGCAGCUGUGACAUCAUCGGGUGGAAGGUUUUCCAAAAACGGUUCCGGUACUGCUGAAAACUGCGAUAUGAAAAAAAUGAUUGAAUAUAAUUCCUUUUCCACAGAUUAUGAGAUUAUACUUUAGCUGUCGUUGUGAAGUUGUGAAGGGGGAGCUAUGUCUGGUCAUAAAAGGUUGUUAGAUAAACCGAUACACCUUGAUGCUAUGUAUUUAGGACACAGCCUUAAGAACAGAGGAAAUACGGGCAGCAACAUAGUUUCCUCUUGUAUUUGUAUAUUUUUAAACAUUCGCUUUAUAUGGAAAUGUGCAAUACAUAGUUUAAUUAUAGAAGUAUAUAUACAUAUAUAUCUGUAAAGUACUGUACGUUAAAAUUGUUGUACUUGCUUAGUAGGUAGCACCAUCUCAUAAGCUAGUGAAUAUAUUGCAUAAUUUCUAAUUAUAGUACAAACGCAGAGUGUGAUGCAUUUGCAUGUGGAACAGCUUCUUCUAUCCAGAAAAGGGGCCAAUAUUUUAUAAUAAAUCCCACAGAAAAACCGCGUUUAAUUUUCAUAUUAUGUAUUUUGUGUAUAUUUUGUUACUUGAAAUCAAGGGAGACAAUUGUGUAUUUAUCUUUGUAAUAGCUUUGUGAAUUAUUAACAAAUAGUCUAAAAGUUAUUGUUAUGAAAAAUGUCUUCGUUUAAUUUAUUACCUGAAUAAUUGGUAUACCCUGUAUAUGGAAACGAAUCUCGAUGAAUGGAUGCAAUAGCAUAUCCCACCUAGUAUUAAGAUUAAAUUUAGAAUAUAAUAAUUUCCGAAAAUAUGUUUUUAUGACACUACACAAUUUUUUCUCAAAAUUAAAACUUAACCAAAUCACCUCUAUAUGACACCAAAUGACCUCCAACAAAGUAUUGAAGGACGUUUGUCUCACAAACAAAUCACUCGACACAAAAGAGAUUUCAAGGAAAUGUUUGUUUCAUUAUCUUUAAUUCUAAUUAACUGUUUCCACUGAUUGUCAGGUUCCGAAAAAAACUCUGGUAAAAAGCAGAAUGUCUUUGUUAUUGAUUGUUUCAAUUCUAGUGUUACUUGUUGUCCAAGAAUGGCAUUUAUUAAGUCUGUUACAGUUGUCAUUGUGCCUGAUAGUGUCUUUGUAUUCGGAAACAAAGCCUUUUUAUUUAAAAAAAAUGUUUGUUGAAUAAAGGAAUACAUCAAUGUACAGGUAAAAAUAUUGCUCUUAUUUAUUGCGAAGAAACGUAUAUAUUUUAUUAAUAUUCAGACUUGAAAAAUGUUACACUGUUAAAAAAAGAGGUUGUCCAUUUAUGAAUGUUUAUUUAAAACGUUUGAGAUUUGUAUAUGUAAAACGUAGUUGGUAUUUUAUUAAAUGUUAAGAAACU